UCCAGAACCUUAAGAGAAAGCAAAGGAAAGCAGAAGAAGGAGCAGAGGAGAGGAAGUGGUGUCGGCCAGCCAGAGCUUCGUCACCGUCUCCGUCGCCUCCGGCGGAACAGGUAAGCGACCUCUUCUCCUUGCAUUGUCUUUGUUAAUUAGCAUUUACACUGUGCAAGUGAAUUUUAAUUCACUUGCACAGUGUAGCGACAAGCGUGCGGUAGCGCACGCGUGUUGCUUAGCCCAGCCAGGUCACUGGUUUGGGCCAGUGACCGGGCCGGGCUGGCUGUGUCCAGCCC